GAUGAACGCUAGCGGCAGGCUUAAUACAUGCAAGUCGAGGGGCAGCAGCUCUGUAGCAAUACAGAGGCUGGCGACCGGCAAACGGGUGCGGAACACGUACACAACCUUCCUUUAAGCGGGGAAUAGCCCGGGGAGACCCGGAUUAAUACCCCAUAGUAUAUUGAAGAGGCAUCUCUUUACUAUUAAAGAUUUAUCACUUGAAGAUGGGUGUGCGGCUGAUUAGCUAGUUGGCGGGGUAACGGCCCACCAAGGCAACGAUCAGUAACUGGUGUGAGAGCACGACCAGUCACACGGGCACUGAGACACGGGCCCGACUCCUACGGGAGGCAGCAGUAAGGAAUAUUGGUCAAUGGACGAAAGUCUGAACCAGCCAUGCCGCGUGGAGGAUGAAGGUCCUCUGGAUUGUAAACUUCUUUUAUAUGGGACGAAAAAAGGCUUUUCUAAGUCGUCUGACGGUACCAUAUGAAUAAGCACCGGCUAACUCCGUGCCAGCCGCCGCUGUAACAC
rnacentral:rRNA from 1 species